rnacentral:tRNA from 3 species
GUCAGGAUAGCUCAGUUGGUAGAGCAGAGGACUGAAAAUCCUCGUG